rnacentral:sRNA from 1 species
GCGAGGCCCAAAUCGGGCUCGCUUAUGGGGCGCCGGAUGCAGGUGUCCGGCGGCCCUCGUCAUCACGUUGCUCCAAGGAGGAUGUGGUCAUGAGGA